rnacentral:rRNA from 1 species
UAGGGAAUCUUCGGCAAUGGACGAAAGUCUGACCGAGCAACGCCGCGUGAGUGAAGAAGGGUUUCGGAUCGUAAAACUCUGUUGUUAGAGAAGAACAAGGACGUUAGUAACUGAACGUCCCCUGACGGUAUCUAACCAGAAAGCCACGGCUAACUACGUGCCAGCAGCCGCGGUAAUACGUAGGUGGCAAGCGUUGUCCGGAUUUAUUGGGCGUAAAGCGAGCGCAGGCGGUUUCUUAAGUCUGAUGUGAAAGCCCCCGGCUCAACCGGGGAGGGUCAUUGGAAACUGGGAGACUUGCGUGCAGAAGAGGUGAUUGGCUUUCCAUGUGUAGCGGUGAAAUGCGUAGAUAUAUGUAGGAACACCAGUGGCGAGGGCGCCUCUCUGGUCUGUCACUGACGCUGAGGCUCGAACGCGUGGGGAGCAAACAGG